rnacentral:rRNA from 1 species
CCUACGGGAGGCAGCAGUGAGGAAUAUUGGUCAAUGGACGAGAGUCUGAACCAGCCAAGUAGCGUGAAGGAUGACUGCCCUAUGGGUUGUAAACUUCUUUUAUAUGGGAAUAAAAUGUUCCACGUGUGGGAUUUUGUAUGUACCAUAUGAAUAAGGAUCGGCUAACGCCGUGCCAGCAGCCGCGGUAAUACGGAGGAUCCGAGCGUUAUCCGGAUUUAUUGGGUUUAAAGGGAGCGUAGGUGGAUUGUUAAGUCAGUUGUGAAAGUUUGCGGCUCAACCGUAAAAUUGCAGUUGAAACUGGCAGUCUUGAGUACAGUAGAGGUGGGCGGAAUUCGUGGUGUAGCGGUGAAAUGCUUAGAUAUCACGAAGAACUCCGAUUGCGAAGGCAGUUCACUGGACUGCAACUGACAUUGAGGCUCGAAAGUGUGGGUAUCAAACAGGAUUAGAUACCCGAGUAGUC